UGUGGUUCGGUGACAGUUGUCCCCCCAACUGCCGUGAGACCCAGUGCUCCUUUCUGGGAUGUUUGGACUGUGACCUGGGCUUCUGCCAUUAUUCCGAGGAAGGAACCGGUAAAUUCACGUGCGUCAAGAAGUGCCCUGCAGGAAUGUACUGUGAAAGUACUCACCGCCUUUGUGUUAACG